UACGGGGGGGGGAAGCGUUGUUCGGAAUUACUGGGCGUAAAGGGCUCGUAGGCGGCCAACUAAGUCAGACGUGAAAUCCCUCAGCUUAACUGGGGAACUGCGUCUGAUACUGGAUGGCUUGGAUUUGGGAGAGGGAUGCGGAAUUCCAGGUGUAGCGGUGAAAUGCGUAGAUAUCUGGAGGAACACCGGUGGCGAAGGCGGCAUCCUGGACCAACAUUGACGCUGAGGGGCGAAAGCCAGGGGAGCAAACGGG
rnacentral:rRNA from 1 species